UUCCACAGGAUGCCAACAGCAAA
rnacentral:misc_RNA from 1 species